GGGCCCGUAGCUCAGCGGCAGAGCGGGCGGCUCAUAACCGUUUGGUCGCAGGUUCGAAUCCUGCCGGGCCCA
rnacentral:tRNA from 1 species